GGGUAACCUGCCCAUCAGAAGGGGAUAACACUUGGAAACAGGUGCUAAUACCGUAUAACAAUCGAAACCGCAUGGUUUCGUUUUGAAAGGCGCUUUACGGUGCCGCUGAUGGAUGGACCCGCGGUGCAUUAGCUAGUUGGUGAGGUAACGGCUCACCAAGGCCACGAUGCAUAGCCGACCUGAGAGGGUGAUCGGCCACAUUGGGACUGAGACACGGCCCAAACUCCUACGGGAGGCAGCAGUAGGGAAUCUUCGGCAAUGGACGAAAGUCUGACCGAGCAACGCCGCGUGAGUGAAGAAGGUUUUCGGAUCGUAAAACUCUGUUGUUAGAGAAGAACAAGGGUGAGAGUAACUGUUCACCCCUUGACGGUAUCUAACCAGAAAGCCACGGCUAACUACGUGCCAGCAGCCGCGGUAAUACGUAGGUGGCAAGCGUUGUCCGGAUUUAUUGGGCGUAAAGCGAGCGCAGGCGGUUUCUUAAGUCUGAUGUGAAAGCCCCCGGCUCAACCGGGGAGGGUCAUUGGAAACUGGGAGACUUGAGUGCAGAAGAGGAGAGUGGAAUUCCAUGUGUAGCGGUGAAAUGCGUAGAUAUAUGGAGGAACACCAGUGGCGAAGGCGGCUCUCUGGUCUGUAACUGACGCUGAGGCUCGAAAGCGUGGGGAGCAAACAGGAUUAGAUACCCUGGUAGUCCACGCCGUAAACGAUGAGUGCUAAGUGUUGGAGGGUUUCCGCCCUUCAGUGCUGCAGCUAACGCAUUAAGCACUCCGCCUGGGGAGUACGACCGCAAGGUUGAAACUCAAAGGAAUUGACGGGGGCCCGCACAAGCGGUGGAGCAUGUGGUUUAAUUCGAAGCAACGCGAAGAACCUUACCAGGUCUUGACAUCCUUUGACCACUCUAGAGAUAGAGCUUCCCCUUCGGGGGCAAAGUGACAGGUGGUGCAUGGUUGUCGUCAGCUCGUGUCGUGAGAUGUUGGGUUAAGUCCCGCAACGAGCGCAACCCUUAUUGUUAGUUGCCAUCAUUUAGUUGGGCACUCUAGCAAGACUGCCGGUGACAAACCGGAGGAAGGUGGGGAUGACGUCAAAUCAUCAUGCCCCUUAUGACCUGGGCUACACACGUGCUACAAUGGGAAGUACAACGAGUCGCGAAGUCGCGAGGCUAAGCUAAUCUCUUAAAGCUUCUCUCAGUUCGGAUUGUAGGCUGCAACUCGCCUACA
rnacentral:rRNA from 1 species